rnacentral:rRNA from 1 species
AUUGAACGCUGGCGGCAGGCCUAACACAUGCAAGUCGAGCGGAUGAAGGGAGCUUGCUCCUGGAUUCAGCGGCGGACGGGUGAGUAAUGCCUAGGUAUCUGCCUGGUAGUGGGGGAUAACGUCCGGACACGGGCGCUAAUACCGCAUACGUCCUGAGGGAGAAAGUGGGGGAUCUUCGGACCUCACGCUAUCAGAUGAUCCUAGGUCGGAUUAGCUAGUUGGUGGGGUAAAGGCCUACCAAGGCGACGAUCCGUAACUCGUCUGAGAGGAUGAUCAGUCACACUGGAACUGAGACACGGUCCAGACUCCUACGGGAGGCAGCAGUUGGGAAUAUUGGACAAUGGGCGGAAGCCUGAUCCAGCCAUGCCGCGUGUGUGAAGAAGGUCUUCGGAUUGUAAAGCACUUUAAGUUGGGAGGAAAGGCAGCAAGUUAAUACCUUGCUGUUUUGACGGUACCAAAAGAAUAAGCACCGGCUAACUUCGUG